rnacentral:rRNA from 1 species
AGAGUUUGAUCCUGGCUCAGGAUGAACGCUGGCGGCGUGCUUAACACAUGCAAGUCGAACGAGCCUUCGGGUUAGUGGCGGACGGGUGAGUAACGCGUGAGAAUCUGCCCUCAGGAGGGGGAUAACAGUUGGAAACGACUGCUAAUACCCCAUAUGCCGAGAGGUGAAAUGAAUUUCGCCUGGGGAUGAGCUCGCGUCUGAUUAGCUUGUUGGUGGGGUAAUAGCCUACCAAGGCUUCGAUCAGUAGCUGGUCUGAGAGGACGAUCAGCCACACUGGGACUGAGACACGGCCCAGACUCCUACGGGAGGCAGCAGUGGGGAAUUUUCCGCAAUGGGCGAAAGCCUGACGGAGCAACGCCGCGUGAGGGAUGGAGGCCUUUGGGCUGUAAACCUCUUUUCUCAAGGAAGAAGAUCUGACGGUACUUGAGGAAUAAGCCACGGCUAAUUCCGUGCCAGCAGCCGCGGUAAUACGGGAGUGGCAAGCGUUAUCCGGAAUUAUUGGGCGUAAAGCGUCCGCAGGCGGCCGUUUAAGUCUGUUGUUAAAUCGUGGAGCUCAACUCCAUCACGGCAAUGGAAACUGUUCGGCUUGAGUAUGGUAGGGGCAGAGGGAAUUUCCGGUGUAGCGGUGAAAUGCGUAGAUAUCGGGAAGAACACCAGUGGCGAAAGCGCUCUGCUGGGCCAUUACUGACGCUCAUGGACGAAAGCCAGGGGAGCUAAAGGGAUUAGAUACCCCUGUAGUCCUGGCCGUAAACGAUGAACACUAGAUGUUGGGGGAAUCGACCCCCUCGGUGUCGUAGCUAACGCGUUAAGUGUUCCGCCUGGGGAGUACGCACGCAAGUGUGAAACUCAAAGGAAUUGACGGGGGCCCGCACAAGCGGUGGAGUAUGUGGUUUAAUUCGAUGCAACGCGAAGAACCUUACCAAGGCUUGACAUCCUGCGAAUCUCUAAGAAAUUAGAGAGUGCCUUCGGGAACGCAGUGACAGGUGGUGCAUGGCUGUCGUCAGCUCGUGUCGUGAGAUGUUGGGUUAAGUCCCGCAACGAGCGCAACCCACGUUUUUAGUUGCCAGCAUUCAGUUGGGCACUCUAGAAAGACUGCCGGUGACAAACCGGAGGAAGGUGUGGACGACGUCAAGUCAUCAUGCCCCUUACGCCUUGGGCUACACACGUACUACAAUGCUGCGGACAAAGAGUAGCGAUCUUGCGAAAGUUAGCUAAUCUCAUAAACCGUGGCUCAGUUCAGAUCGUAGGCUGCAACUCGCCUACGUGAAGGAGGAAUCGCUAGUAAUCGCAGGUCAGCAUACUGCGGUGAAUACGUUCCCGGGCCUUGUACACACCGCCCGUCACACCAUGGAAGUUGGCCAUGCCCGAAGUCGUUACUCUAACCUUUUGGAAGAGGGCGCCGAAGGCAGGGCUAAUGACUGGGGUGAAGUCGUAACAAGGUAACC